ensembl:lncRNA
UUCCUCAUUUUUUCCCAAUUUUUUCCCGAUUUUUUCCUCAUUUUUUCCCGAUUUUUUCCUCAUUUUUUCCCAAUUUUUUCCUGAAUUUUUCCUGAAUUUUUCCUGAAUUUAUCCUGAAUUUUUCCUCAUUUUUCCCCCAUUUUCCCUGAUUAUUUUCCUGAUUUUUUCCUGAUGGUUUCCUGAUUAUUUUCCUGAUUUUUCCCUGAUCAUUUUCCUCAUUUUUCCUGAUUUUUUCCUGAUUUUUUCCUGAUUUUUUUCUUGAUUUUUUUUUCCUUGAUUUUUUCCUGUUUAUUUUCCUGAUUUUUCCCUCAUUUUUCCUGAUUAUUUUCCUGAUUUUUCCCCUGAAUUUUUAAUGAUUUUUCCUGAUUAUUUUCCUAAUUUUUCCUGUUUAUUUCCUGAUUAUUUUCUUUAUUAUUUCCUGUUUGUUUUCCCUGAUUUUUCCCGAUUUUUUCCUGAUUUUUUCCUCAUUUAUUCCUCAUUUAUUCUUGAUUUUUCCCCUCAUCUUUUCCUCUUUUUUCCUGAUUAUUUUCCUGAUUUUUUCUUCAUUUUUUCCUCAUUUAUUCUUGAUUUUUCCCCUCAUCUUUCUUUUCCUCAUUUUUCCUGAUUUUUUUCCAGAUUUUUUCCUCAUUUUUUUCCUGUUUAUUUUCCUGAUUUUUUCCUGAUUAUUUCCUGAUUAUUUCCUUUAUUAUUUCCUCAUUUUUUCCCUGAUUUUUCCUGAUUUUUUCCUGAUUAUUUUCCCGAUUUUUUCCUGAUUUAUUCCUCAUUUAUUCUUGAUUUUUCCCCUCAUAUUUUCCUCAUUUUUCCUGAUUAUUUUCCUGAUUUUUUCCUCGUUUAUUCUUAAUUUUUCCCCUCAUCUUUCCCUCAUUUUUUCUGAUUUUUUCCUGAUUUUUUCCUGUUUAUUUUCCUGAUUAUUUCCUCAAUUUUUCCUGAUUAUUUUCCUGAUUUUUCCCUGAUAAUUUCCCUCAUUUUUCCCUGAUUCUUCCUCAUUUUUCCUGAUUUUUCUCCUGAUUUUUCCUCUUUUUUUUUCCUGUUUAUUUUCCUGAUUUUUUCUUCAUUUAUUCCUCAUUUAUUCUUGAUUUUUCCCCUCAUCUUUUCCUCAUUUUUCCUGAUUUUUUCCUGAUUUUUUCCUGAUUUUUUCCUGUUUAUUUUCCUAUUUUUUCCUAAUUUUUUUCCUGUUUUUUUUCCUGAUUAUUUUCCUGAUUUUUUCCUGAUUUUUUCCCCUGAAUUUUUAAAGAUUUUUCCUGAUUAUUUUCCUGAUUAUUUUCCUCAUUUUUUCCUGAUUAUUUUCCUGAUUUUUCCCUGAUAUAAUUUUCCUGAUUUUUUCCUCAUUUUUCCCUGAUUUUUUUCCUCAUUUUUCCUGAUUAUUCCCUCAUUUUUUCCUGAUUAUUUUCCCGAUUUUUUCCUGAUUUUUUCCUCAUUUAUUCUUGAUUUUUUCCCUCAUCUUUUCCUCAUUUUUCCUGAUUUUUUCCUGAUUAUUUUCUUUAUUAUUUCCUCAUUUUUUUCCCUGAUUUUUAUGGGCUAAAAACUCAAAUUUUUCAUUUUUUCCAGCUGCUCUCCUUUCCCAGGAAUUCUGUGGAAUUCUGGAAUUUUGCAAUUCCAGAAUA